rnacentral:rRNA from 1 species
AGCGAACGCUGGCGGCAGGCUUAAUACAUGCAAGUCGAGCGCCUGUAGCAAUACAGGAGCGGCAGACGGGAGAGUAACACGUGGGAACGUGCCCUUUGGUUCGGAACAACACAGGGAAACUUGUGCUAAUACCGGAUAAGCCCUUACGGGGAAAGAUUUAUUGCCAAAGGAUCGGCCCGCGUCUGAUUAGCUAGUUGGUGGGGUAAUGGCCCACCAAGGCGACGAUCAGUAGCUGGCUGAGAGGAUGAUCAGCCUCAUUGGGACUGAGACACGGCCCAAACUCCUACGGGAGGCAGCAGUAGGGAAUAUUGGACAAUGGGCGCAAGCCUGAUCCAGCCAUGCCGCGUGAGUGAUGAAGGCCUUAGGGUUGUAAAGCUCUUUCGGCGGGGAAGAUAAUGACGGUACCCGCAUAAGAAGCCCCGGCUAACUUCGUGCCAGCAGCCG